rnacentral:rRNA from 1 species
CAGUAGCCGCGGUAAAACGAACCGUGCGAACGUUAUUCGGAAUUACUGGGCUUAAAGCGCGUGUAGGCGGGUCGGCACGUCGGUCGCUGAAAUCCCCCGGCUCAACCGGGGAAGUGGCGCCGAUACGGCCGGCCUGGAGGGGGGUAGGGGGGCCUGGAACUUCCGGUGGAGCGGUGAAAUGCGUUGAGAUCGGAAGGAACGCCCGUGGCGAAAGCGAGGCCCUGGACCCUUUCUGACGCUGAGACGCGAAAGCCAGGGGAGCGAACGGGAUUAGAUACCCCAGUAGUCCCUGUCUCUUAUA